UUUCAUCUUUCUUCUUCAUCCACCGAAAAUGCAGCAAGGAGUGGGUUUUGAAAGCUCAAAAAUACCAGCCACUUAUAGUCCUUGCAAGUAAGUGAUUUAGAUAACCUUUCUUGAUGAUUUUUGCAUUUUUAGGACCUUUGUAGCAUAAGCUAACUAAUGAGGAGACUAUUUUGAAAAAUAGUUGAAUGUCUAGGGUUCUGCCAUGUGAAUACUCAUAUCUCAUAUUGUUUACUGAAUUUUUAUGGAAGAAAAUGAUUCAUGGUUGUGUAAUAAACAACUUUUGUGAAAGAAGUUUGCAUGAAAACACCUAAAAGGGGUUAUUUUGUAAAGUUGUAAAAUAAGUUGUAAUGUGUGAAAUAAUUGAAAUUGUGAGUUUCUAUGGUUAAAAAAAGAAUUCGGCUAGGCUUGGUAAAGGAGGAAAUUUGAUAAAAAUCGAUUUACGAGCCUAAGGGCAAAAUCAUAAUUUUUGUAAAGUCUAAGGCAAAAAAGUCAUUUUGCAAAUUGUGAAUUAUAGAAUGGUUUAAUUAAUGAAAUGAUUAAAUAAGUGAAUUUCAUUAUGUUAGAUCAAGAAAAUCGAGAUUUGGGCUUAAAUAAGAAAGUACGAGGUUAUGGACUAAAAUGGAGUAAUUAGCUGAAAUUGCAUUCGAGGUAAGUCCAUGUGACUAAAUAAACAUGUUAUCCAUGUUAUUGUUAAUAUACUUGAAAUCUAUCUUGCUUUGGUUAUAUUGAAUUAUAUGUUGGUGAUAUUGAGUAUGAUGAAAGUGAUGCCAAAUGUUAACAACAUUCAUGUGAAGAUAGAAUACAUUAGAAAUUUGAUGGAAUAUGAUAUUCCAUAGAAAUGAGUAAGUUGUAUGUUAAUAAUACAACUAUAUUGUUUUGAUGUAUAAUUGAAUUGAUAUUGCAUAAAUUGUUUUGAUUGUGAAUAUGAGUAUGCAUGUUGAGAAAUUAAUGUAAUAAAGACUCCCGGUUGAUGAGAGCUAGUGUAAGACCUGUCUGGGACAUGGCAUCGACUUUGAUGUGCUGGCCAGUGUAAGACCAUGUCUGGAACAUGACGUCGGCAUCUUACCCUAUGUUUGAGGCUUAGUUAAUAUCCUGUAGUGUUCCAAAUGGUUCAACGGGAAAUUUAUGAUUUAAGUCGCAAUGAUAGAGAUUAUGUGAUAAUUUUUCUAUAUUAAUCAUGUGUUUAUUUUGAGCUUGAGCCUACUAAUUUGAGCUAUUUAUGUCUUUUUAUCUUUUAGGGACUAAAUUGGAGGCGAAAAGUAAAUUCAAGGGAAAAGCAUCAAUUUGGAGAUUAAAUGGGCCAAUAUGCAACGUGGGACAAAUAUGAUGCCAAAAGUGCGAACAUGGAAGGCAUAAGGACUUAAAAGCAAAUAGAAGAGAUUUUAUUUUGGAAGACUCUAUUUUAUUUUAUUUUAUUUAUAUUAGGAUAAUUAAUAUUAAGAUAAAUAUUAGG
rnacentral:lncRNA from 1 species